AACGAACGCUGGCGGCAUGCCUAACACAUGCAAGUCGAACGAGAACUUCGGGUCUUUUGGCGCACGGCUGCGUAAGGCGUGGGAAGCUGCACGUGGGUUCGGAAUACCUCCCCGAAAGGGAUCCUAAUGCCAGAUAAUGUCUUAGGACCAAAGAUUUAUUGCUUUGGGAUGGGCCCUCGUUGGAUUAGGUGGUUGGUAGGGUAAAAGCCUACCAAGGGGACGUUCGCUAGCUGGUGUGAGAGGAUGAUCAGCAAGACUUGGACUAAGACACGGCCCAGACUCCUACGCGAGGGAGCAGUGGAGUAUAUUGUACGAGGGGGGAAGGCCUGAUACAGCAAUGCCCGGGAAGUGAUGAAGCCCGUAGGGAUCUAAAGUUCUUUUACCCGGGAUGAUAAUGACAGUACCGGGUGAAUAAGCUCCGGCUAACUACGUG
rnacentral:rRNA from 1 species